UGGACACCAGAUCACCGCCACACGGCUGACUGAGGGGGCCGGCGCCUGCGAGCCACACUCGGCCCACAGUGUGGGAGCUUUUCCCCUGUUCGGUUGGGCAGAUGGUGGCUCACAGCAAUCUGAAUUAGUCUUUCAUGUUUAAGUCAGAUGAUUUCAGCAACAAACUCAGUUUUCCAAUUUCCCUGGAAAAGAUGGAUCUGUGACCUCGGCCGGUGCCCCCAACAGCAUCUUUCCCUGGGGGACACUGGGUGGAGUUGAGUGCAGCUGCCCCUUGGACAAGGUCCGCCCACCCCCGGUCCUCACAAUAACUCAGCUGUCCUGGGCUGGGGGAGUCAUGCUGUUUUCCCCACAGAACAAUCAAGAGGUGACAGAGACAGGUUUUAUUCUCUCAUUCCUGUGCUAAGGAGGGAGACAUGGGUCAAACCAGAGAGGCUCACGUUCUCCAAGUCUGCCCACCCCAGGGCCACAGAGCCCUCCCGCUUGCUUGGAUACGACAGUGACAGGCUUGGUUCAUGCAAAUACUCGUUACCAGGGCCAGACCGAAUCUCAGCAUCUGGAAUAAACAGCUGCUAUUAUGUAGCAAUAGCUGACCCCUGGGCUGCUGGGCUGCGGUGCCAGCAUGAGUGCCCACCGGCCUGGGAGGCUGCCACCGCAGGGCUGGGUCCUGGGUCCCCAUCAGGGCCACCCCAGUUCCUGGUCAAGUGCGGCCUCGGUCCUGUGUGUGCCUGGUGCCUGGGGCUGGGGUUGACCCUCUCACACCCAACCUGGGGGCCACACUUGUUCCCCCACAGCCUCCCAGGCUGGCCCCUGGCUUUACAUGCAGAGAAGCUGAGCCCCAGGUGGGGUGGGGACGUCAUCCACAGUCAGCGAGUGUCCAGACCCAGGGCUGCAGGGAACCCUGGACAGAGACAGGCGUGCGGCGUAGGGGUGGCUGGCAGCUGUGAGGACCAGCUUGGACCUAACAGCUCAUGUAGGGGCGGCCAGCAGGCCCUGACCACACCUCGGUCUCCGGCAGCUGGUGGUCCUGGCCGUGGAGCACGUGGCCUUGGCCCUAAUGGAAAUCAAGGUCUGCGACGGCCAAGAGCACGUGGUCACCGUCUCGCUGAGGGACGGUGAGGCCACCCUGGAGGUGGACGGCACCAGGGGCCAGAGCGAGGUGAGCACCGCGCAGCUGCAGGAGAGGCUGGCCGUGCUCGAGAGGCACCUGCGGAGCCCCGUGCUCACCUUUGCUGGCGGCCUGCCAGGUAGGUGCUCCCUGCUCCGCUCACCCCGGGUGAAGGGCUCCAGGGAGGCUCAGCUUGGUCACCCCAGAUCUAACCUGGACAGGCUGGCGUUUCUGGUAGUGAAUGCGGAAGAGGACUUGUGUUUUAAGAGGCAGGAGAAGUCCAGGUGGGUCGUUAGUAGCCAUUAUGGUGCCUCGGUGCUGGUCAGGUCAUUGGCUGAGGCUGAGAAACAUGUACGGGGGCCGGCAUUGGCCUGAGUCAGGCCCGGCGAACCUGCAUCUUCAGGGAGCAUUCGUCCACACCCAUCAGACCAGCCCCGGGGGAGAGGGCUGGGCAGACCUCGGGCCAGGCUGCAGUUGGGACCCGCGGCUGUCACCACAGCUUUUAGCAGCGAACAGAGUGACCGCCAGCCCCUCCCAUGUCCAGCAGGGCGUCCCGCCGUGUCCCACGGGCUACACAGCACAGAGGCUGGGACUGGGGACGUCCUUGCCGUGAGCCGGGAGGGUCAGUGGAAAGGCACGUGGGAGCUGGCAAGUCCUCGGCUGCCCGCAGGUUUUCACUUGCAGCAAACGGCAGGAUUUCUGUCUUGGCUGCCAGACACAGACUCCACUUAGUUUUAAUAAACAGAGCUUUGAAGAAGAUGAGAGCGAGCCAGGAGGCCUGCAGCCUGAAUGACUCACUGGGCACAGAAGAAGAUCACGUUUAACCAACGGGACUGUCUGUGCUCCCAGCGGGGAAGGGAGGGCCGGCGUCUGCAGAGCCCAGGCUGGCAGAUGCCUCCUGCUUGUCUGCCGGGUCUGCAGCCGAACGAAUGGGGACGGAGAAGUUAGAGAAGAAAGGGAAAUCCUGCCCUUUCAGAGGGAACCCAGGGCUGGCCACAAGCGCUGCCAGGGGUGGGGGGCUGGGCAGGGGCCGGCCACGCGGCAAUCCCUGGGACCCGGGCUGGGCCUGCUAAGAUGUGUUUGUUCUCUCCCCGCGGCCCAGAUGUGCCAGUGACUUCAGCGCCAGUCACCGCAUUCUACCGGGGCUGCAUGACGCUGGAGGUCAACCGGAGGCUGCUGGACCUGGACGAGGCGGCAUACAAGCACAGCGACAUCACGGCCCACUCCUGCCCCCCCGUGGAGCCCACCACAGCCUAGGCCCCUGCGGGACGCGGCAGGCCCCUCAGCCUCUGUCCAAAACAGCCAGGAGGAGCCUAGGGGCUCCUCACCACGUGCGGCCAUGCUGAGAGCUGGGCUUUCCUCUGUGACCGUCCUGGCCUGUAACAUAUCUGUAAAUAGUGAGAUGGACGUGGGGCCUCUGACGCCGCGCACUCAGCCGCGGGCCUGGGCACGGGGAGGCCGGCGCAGGGCAGAGCGGGCUCGAAGAAAAUAAUUCUCUAUUAUUUUUAUUACCAAAUGCUUCUUUCUGACUCUAAAAUAUGGAAAAUAAAAUAUUUACAGAAAGCUUUGUAA
rnacentral:sRNA from 1 species